rnacentral:rRNA from 1 species
GAUGAACGCUGGCGGCGUGCCUAAUACAUGCAAGUCGAGCGAACGGACGAGAAGCUUUCUUCUCUGAUGUUAGCGGCGGACGGGUGAGUAACACGUGGAUAACCUCCCUAUAAGACUGGGAUAACUUCGGGAAACCGUAUCUAAUACCGGAUAAUAUUUUGAACCGCAUGGUUCAAAAGUGAAAGACGGUCUUGCUGUCACUUAUAGAUGGAUCCGCUUUGCAUUAUCUAGUUGGUAAGGUAACGGCUUACCAAGGCAACGAUGCAUAGCCGACCUGAGAGGGUGAGCGGCCACACUGGAAAUGAGACACGGUCCAGACUCCUACGGGAGGCAGCAGUAGGGAAUCUUCCGCAAUGGGCGCAAGCCUGACGGAGCAACGCCGCGUGAGUGAUGAAGGUCUUCGGAUCGUAAAACUCUGUUAUUAGGGAAGAACAUAUGUGUAAGUAACUGUGCACAUCUUGACGGUACCUAAUCAGAAAGCCACGGCUAACUACGUG